AUUUGAUGAUGAAUACUGAGUUUUGUGGCAUUUAAAGAACACUACAAAAACGCUAAACAGUAGGAACUGGAUUGAAAUAGGUGGAGAUUCUGUUCAAAUGAGCUUACAAGAUUUAAAGGAUAGAUGUACAGAUAUAUUCCGAACAUUUUGGAAAACUCAUGGACCUAUCUUGAAAUAAAGACACAAAACUAAAUCCAAUAGGAGAAUUAAAAUUAAAUUCAAACUAAUUCAUUUAGAACGCAAACAAGCAAAUCUAAGUGGAAUCGAAAAUUGAAUUGCGAAAUUUAGGCCUAAAUAUACAAUUUGCUAAUAUUUUACUACCUAAACUCUAUUUGUCUAAAGAGUGCAACUUGUUUUAGUUCACCACCAUUUACUGUGUAGUAAACAACCUCCCAGUUAUUGCUGGUGGUAAUAAGGAAGACCCUAGGAGGGCUGAAACAUUGUCCGUUUGACACCUGAAUUUUCUGGUAAUUUUUUCUCACAAAAAUAAAUUAAUUAUCUCGGAAUUUUUAUGUAAAAAUGACUAGAAUUGCCUGAUUGUAGCCAGGGCACCCAAAACUAAACUCCACUGUCCCUCUCCUGUCUUGUGUCUCUCCGUAUAAUACAACCCUUUCCCCUGACAAUAUAUGUGAGAUUUUAGAUAGCAGAUUGUAACCCCCAGCUCUGUCCUAUUACUUACCUGAGAGCGACUCACUUUGUAGCACCUUUGGAAAAGUCAGAACUCACGUUCUCCUUACCUGGGGACUGUGUGCAUACCUUCCCUUUUAGAUCAUUGACUGAACUAAGGAACAUAUUAAAUGGGACGAGCCACAAAAAAGAUCCUUAGGGUACUGCUCUGGUGAUCUG